rnacentral:rRNA from 1 species
CCAGACUCCUACGGGAGGCAGCAGUGGGGGAUAUUGCACAAUGGGGGGAACCCUGAUGCAGCGACGCCGCGUGGGUGAGGAAGUACCCCGGUAUGUAAAGCCCUUUCGGCAGGGAAGAAAAUGACGGUACCUGGCGAAGAAGCCCCGGCUAACUACGUGCCAGCAGCCGCGGUAAUACGUAGGGGGCAAGCGUUAUCCGGAUUUACUGGGUGUAAAGGGAGCGUAGGCGGUGCAGCAAGUCAGAAGUGAAAGCCCGGGGCUCAACGCCGGGACUGCUUUUGAAACUGUUGAACUAGAUUGCAGGAGAGGUAAGUGGAAUUCCUAGUGUAGCGGUGAAAUGCGUAGAUAUUAGGAGGAGCACCAGUGGCGAAGGCGGCUUACUGGACUGUAAAUGACGCUGAGGCUCGAAAGCGUGGGGAGCAAACAGGAUUAGAUACCCUCGUA